GUGCUGGUUUUGCAGUAUAUAUACUAAAAUUGGAACAAUAAAGAGAAAAUUAGCAUGGCCCCUUUGCAAGGAUUACCUGCAAAUUCAUGAAGCAUUCCAUAUUUUU
ensembl:snRNA U6 U6 spliceosomal RNA